rnacentral:rRNA from 1 species
UACGAAGGGGGCUAGCGUUGUUCGGAUUUACUGGGCGUAAAGCGCACGUAGGCGGAUUGUUAAGUGAGGGGUGAAAUCCCAGGGCUCAACCCUGGAACUGCCUUUCAUACUGCCAAUCUCGAGUCCGGAAGAGGUGAGUGGAACUCCUAGUGUAGAGGUGGAAUUCGUAGAUAUUAGGAAGAACACCAGUGGCGAAGGCGGCUCACUGGUCCGGUACUGACGCUGAGGUGCGAAAGCGUGGGGAGCAAACAGG